rnacentral:rRNA from 1 species
UACGUAGGUGGCAAGCGUUGUCCGGAAUUAUUGGGCGUAAAGCGCGCGCAGGCGGCCUUUUAAGUCUGAUGUGAAAGCCCACGGCUCAACCGUGGAAGGUCAUUGGAAACUGAAAGGCUUGAGUACAGAAGAGGAAAGCGGAAUUCCACGUGUAGCGGUGAAAUGCGUAGAGGUGUGGAGGAACACCAGUGGCGAAGGCGGCUCUCUGGACGGUGACUGACGCUGAGACGCGAAAGCGUGGGGAGCAAACAGG